rnacentral:lncRNA from 1 species
AACAUGAUUGGAUGAAACACAAUUUGGCUUGUGAGUGGUUUAAACUGCCACCUUGUGCGUGCGUGGACCCUGCUCCAGCCACCUGGCCUGAGCCCAGGACCCCCACCCGAAACACUUCAAAUAAUAUCCUAAAUUCUGAAUCUCCCAUUUGUCCAUGCUGAGGUGACUUGCAAGAUCUGAGGAUACCAUUGCUCAGUGGAAAUGUAAGGCAUUACAGAAUUGAACUAUAGUGUCUGAAGACUGAGUCACACUAUACAAAGAGAUUCUUCUUCCUUUAAAAAUACUUCUUGUUUGUAGCUUUAAAAGAAACCCAUGAACUCAACAAAUUGUGCCAGAUUUAGACUACUGAGAAUGGAUCUUCCAAACGUGACAGUUGAUAGGAAAAAGCCCAAAGAAUACCCCGGACACUGUUUGGAAGAAGAGUGAAUACAACUAAGAAAAGGGAGAAAAAAGACUUGUUUUAUCAAGCACACAAAAUAUCUACAAAGAGAGACUUCCUCUCUAUUUCAAGACCAAGAGAACAGACCUCUAAGCAAACAAUUUAAAAUGGGACCAAAUGCUAAAGACUGUAAAGUGAACCCAAAGACAUAUGACAUAUAUCUACAACAAACAAGAUUUUGAUAAUCUCUAGGAUGCAGAAAGGGCUUAUUUAUAAUGUCUUGGUGGUGUCUCUCUAGGCAAUUCCAGCGUACAUAUUUGUUCUAAAUUAACACUUCAGCAAUUUUCAACAUGACAGAAAGCACCACACCAUGCCUCCGUUGUUCUGAACCCAUUAAAUUGCAAUUUGUGUUUACAUGUUAGAUGCUGAAAGCCUAAGAACAUUCUUUGUGUAUUUAAUAAGAUAAAUGAUUUUGUGUAUAAAUAAUCCCUUAA